rnacentral:rRNA from 1 species
AUUGAACGCUGGCGGCAUGCCUUACACAUGCAAGUCGAACGGCAGCACGGGAGCAAUCCUGGUGGCGAGUGGCGAACGGGUGAGUAAUAUAUCGGAACGUGCCCAGUCGUGGGGGAUAACGUAGCGAAAGCUACGCUAAUACCGCAUACGAUCUAUGGAUGAAAGCGGGGGAUCGCAAGACCUCGCGCGAUUGGAGCGGCCGAUAUCAGAUUAGGUAGUUGGUGAGGUAAAGGCUCACCAAGCCGACGAUCUGUAGCUGGUCUGAGAGGACGACCAGCCACACUGGGACUGAGACACGGCCCAGGCUCCUACGGGAGGCAGCAGUGGGGAAUUUUGGACAAUGGGCGCAAGCCUGAUCCAGCAAUGCCGCGUGCAGGAUGAAGG